CGCGUAGGCGGUUUGAUAAGUCGGAUGUGAAAGCCCCGGGCUUAACCUGGGAAUUGCAUUCGAUACUGUCAGGCUGGAGUAUGGUAGAGGGAAGCGGAAUUCCGGGUGUAGCGGUGAAAUGCGUAGAUAUCCGGAGGAACAUCAGUAGCGAAGGCGGCUUCCUGGUCCAAUACUGACGCUGAGGUGCGAAAGCGUGGGGAGCAAACA
rnacentral:rRNA from 1 species